rnacentral:lncRNA from 1 species
AAGAACACUGUGGAAGGAAUUGGUUUAGAACAUACAGGACCCCGUCCACCCUGCUUGUUGAAGGAUCUCAGUGACAGUGACAGUGAGAACAGAGACCUUAAGAAGAAAGUACUUGAAAAGGAGACCUAUAUCCAAGAACUUUCAUGUCUGUUUCAUAAUGAAAAGGAAAGUGCUUUGAAAGCAAACCGGUUUUCUCAGUCUGUCAAGGUAGUACACGAUCGCCUACAGCUCCAAAUUCAGAAGAGGGAGGUGGAGAAUGAAAGGUUAAAAGAACACAUACAGAGCUUGGAAACCCAAAUAGCCAAGUGGAACUUGCAGGUAAAAAUGAAUAAGCAAGAGGCUGUGGCCGUCAAAGAAGCCAGCAGGC